GGUUAUGGCGAGUUCCAUCAGUUCUAGACCCCAGAGCUGGGCUGCGGCCGCGGCUGCGCAGAGGGAGAGAACUCAAUGGCGUUUUGCCUCCUUUCUCUCCCCUCCCUCUUCUCUUGAAGGCUCCGAGAGGGGCACUGUCAAGUUGACGCCAUCUGCUGGCAGGACGCGGAUUAUCGUCAAAGCCGGCGGCCUUUCAGUCCUUAGCCAGGGACCCCGAACUUGCAGUUGCUUGGUGGCUCCUUCUCUACUCACCAUUUGCUGGGGUUGGGGUACAUGAUGUAAGGAGAUACUAUGGCCAAGCAUCUAAGAAGAAAGGCAACUCAAAAAAGAUGGAAAAAGGCCUCACGAAUGAAAUUCAUAAUACAUAAUACAAGAAAGUGAUUACAAAGAGGAAAAAAAAAGGUUGUUACAUCAAUGGAUCACAUAUGCCAAUGAUGUCAAACUCAGAAACAGAGACUCUAAAUCUUACAUAAGGAUUCUUGUGGGCGGGGGCGGAGCCAAGAUGGCGGAGAAGUCACACGCGACUUUCUAAGCUCUUCUCUUACCCUCUUUAUCAAUAUUAUAUCGAGCCUCAAAAAUAGUCUUGACUGCUACAAUUCGUAAAGAUAAGAAGUAGAACAACUCACCGGC
rnacentral:lncRNA from 1 species